UUUCUUGAAAUGAAAGUCACACAAGAUAUAAAGAUAAAGGUGAAAUACAUCUGGCUCAGAAAGAUUACAUCAAAAACUUAAUAAGGAGAAAUCAUAUACAUGAAAGCAAACUGAUAAAUACAUAUAUGGAGAUCAAUUUCAAAUGCUAUAGAAAAAUGAAUGAUAAGAGCUAGUAAAUUGAUGUAUCUUAUAGUUAACACAUGGCUAGACAUCACUCAUGCAGCAAUUAAACUUUGCCAAUUUAACAACAAUUUUGAUGAAGAAUACAAAAAGGAGAUUAUACACCUGCAAUCAAGCUUCGAAACCAUUAAAGAGCUAAUGUUAACUGAAUAUAUAAAUGCAGAUUGAGGAGGUGAUCAAACUGUUUGAACAUCAUACUCUGAUUACAUAUGACACAAGAAAAUAAUAUACUUGUGCUCAAUUUUUGAAGAUUAAACCAAGAAGAUAGACCAAUGGGACACAAGCAAAAUGAUGGCCAACUUCUUAACAAAACUAAUAUCUG